rnacentral:rRNA from 1 species
UACGUAGGGGGCAAGCGUUAUCCGGAUUUACUGGGUGUAAAGGGAGCGUAGACGGUAAAGCAAGUCUGAAGUGAAAUGUAAGGGCUUAACCCUUAAACUGCUUUGGAAACUGUUUAACUGGAGUGCAGGAGGGGUAAGUGGAAUUCCUGGUGUAGCGGUGAAAUGCGUAGAUAUCAGGAGGAACACCGGUGGCGAAGGCGGCUUACUGGACUGUAACUGACGUUGAGGCUCGAAAGCGUGGGGAG